CGGCAGUGAUGACUAUCUUAGGACACCUUU
rnacentral:piRNA from 2 species